GCGAAAAGGUUUAUUACUGUAUAUACUGUGUUAUGGAAGCUGGCCACCUGGAACAGCUUCCUGUAAAAACCUGCAAAUCGUGAAGCAUUUGUCGCGACUUAUAUUGUUUAGUAUAUGGCUAAGCCAAACUGGAGGGUGAAGUCAUUCGAGGCGAGCGAUAAUUGCCAAUCAAUUUGUGAGUUAACUGACUUUGUGGAAAAUACAUUGCUACCUUCUAAUGGUAUAAAUUCGACGAUGUUGAGAUGAGCGAAAAUGGACAUCACAGCUUGUUCAGCAUGUAAGUGGGCUUGGGUACAAAGGAAAAGUAGCAGUCGUUGAAGCUGAAUGUGCCCUUUAUACUUGUGCAAUUGUUUUGGUUGGAUGCCCUGAUCCAUCAAUAAAAUACCAGUAUCCCAAACUGAGCAAAUUGCAUCAGGUCGUUUCGCUAUUAACACGUUGCAGAGACAUCUCUGACAAAUGCCAGAAUUCAAAUCAAAAUGCACAACCUUCCGAAUCCAUACAGAGAUCCAAAUAUAAGGUUUACAUUAAGAAGCUAAAGAGGACAGAGCUGUUGGUGAGGAAGGUGUCGAGCUACUGCAGUACUGCAGCUGUGAAAAUGAACAUUUCGCACGAGCCCCACUAACCGAACUAUGAGAAAAUUAGAUUAUGAUAUAACGACGACGAAAAGUGGUACCAGUAAUAGAUUAUCAAUGUUCCGUUUUGUAUGUAAAAUUUGAGUAUGCAAUGAAAUCUGUGUUCGCAUG